UCAGAGGGGGACGAACAGUUGGAAACGACUGCUAAUACCGCAUACGAUCUAACCUCGGCAUCGAGGAUAGAUGAAAGGUGGCCUCUACAUGUAAGCUAUCACUGAAGGAGGGGAUUGCGUCUGAUUAGCUAGUUGGAGGGGUAACGGCCCACCAAGGCGAUGAUCAGUAGCCGGUCUGAGAGGAUGAACGGCCACAUUGGGACUGAGACACGGCCCAG
rnacentral:rRNA from 1 species